UGGGGAAUAUUGGACAAUGGGCGAAAGUCUGACCGAGCAACGCCGCGUGAGUGAAGAAGGUUUUCGGAUCGUAAAACUCUGUUGGUGGAGAAGAACGUUGGUGAGAGUGGAAAGCUCAUCAAGUGACGGUAACUACCCAGAAAGGGACGGCUAACUACGUGCCAG
rnacentral:rRNA from 1 species